rnacentral:tRNA from 1 species
GGUGGCUCAGUGGUAGAGUGCUUGUGUUGCAUGCAUGAGGCCUGAGUUCAAUUCCUCAGCACCA